CUUUUAUUGGAUGUAAUGAGGCUUAGGGAUAGGGUUAUUGAAACGAAAGAAUAGGAAAACACAAGUUCUAAGCUACAUUGCAAGCAAUUCUUUUCUUUAGAUUUAUAAGAACUCAAGCUCUCCAACGAUUCUUCUGAAACCUCCAAUCACACCCUUAAACUGAAACUUUAAAAAAACAUUAUUUUUUUUUUUUCUUCGUAUACAAUCUUUCUUUUUCUUUUUCUUUUUCUUUUUUUUUUUUAAUACAAAUAUGAAAUACCCCCACACUUAUUUUUUUGCCAAACACCUUCAAAGUACUUUACAAACAUUUCUCAUAAGACAAUCUCACAUUGCUCACUAGCUUGCUUGGAAAGGGUAAGGAAAAAAAAAUGUUUCAGGUAUAAGGGUAGACAUAUUUGGUGAUAAGAAAUAAAAGGCUCAACAAACACGGCUCAAAUUGGCAAUCUAAUGAUAUCAUUUUUUCUGUUGGGAAACAUGGUUAUUUGGGCCAUGGUGGUAAACCUAAUGCCUCUAUCAUUUCCAAGUUCAUGUAAUCAAUGACAAACAUUUCGAAAGAUCGUUACGCAAGUUCUAGAGAUGUAUCUCACAUAAGUUCAUCACACAUGAAAGAAUAGGAGUGUAUGAAAAAUGCACACACUUUCAAUAGGCUCAAAAGCUCACAUAGGAUGUAUAUGGUCACUAAAUUCACAUAUGAAGCUUUACGUUAUGCUUUAGUUUCACAUCAACAAGGCUAUGUGCAUUUGGUUUUUCAAAGAUGAUCAAACAUGUACAAAACUAACAAAAGAAUUAGGAAUUUCACAAAACACAUGUUAACUAAGUUCUUGAUGAUCAUGGUUCAAAUUUUAUUCAAUUAUAUCAUUGGGUCGGGAAACUAACAAAAAUCUAAUUCAAAACAAUAAGGAAAACAAGACAAUAUUUUUGGAUUUUUAAAUUUUCCGAAUUUUUUUUUAAAGAAAACAAAAAGCAACAACACAGAAACAAAUGAAAUUCUGGAGAUUUCUACCCCCACACUUAAACUUGACAUUGUCCCCAAUGUCAGAAAACACUAUAACGCAAAAUAAAAAUAAAAUAAAAUAAAUAAAUAAUAAGAAACAAAAUAAAGCAAUUAGACUGAAAACUUCCCUAAGUUGCAGUAAAAUCAAGUGAUUACCCCCCACGCUAAAAUUCUGCAAUCAACUUCAAGGGUGGAAAUAACCAAAAGUUCCUGCAAAGAAAAGAAAUAAUUCAGUUAAGUAACGCAAGAAAAUGUAAAAAAAAUUGCAAAUGAAAAAUUGAAAAUCACAAUAAAAGACAAUGAAUAGAAACUAAUAAGUGAUCAUUGGUCAUGCUUGUUGAUUUUCCACAGCGUUCCUCUUGAACAGGGUGACACUUAGCUUUUUACUUGCAAGUGAUGAUUUUAUGCUAUUGUACGGCGAAGCUUUGCUCUUUGGUUAUGUUGCAGUUCCUUAUUUGUUCUCCAAGCAGAUGUGGCAGCUUCUCUAGUUCUUCAGUUCGGACUCCUUGUGCUGGGUUGAUUGUACGAGCUGCAUUCUUCUCUGCUUGUUUCUUCAGCACGGCGGGCAGGCACGAGGUAGAGGUAUUGGUCUGUUUCUUUCUUCAAUCUUUCCAAGUGCCCACCUCUUGCUUUCUUUCUCCUUGUCCCUAGCUGAAUUGUCUCCACAUGCUUCGAGGUAUCAUUUUCACUUCCCUUACUGUCCCCCAGGCAGAUGUGGUAGACGAAGAGAAAGCAUAAAAUGAUGAAGAUGAGUACUCGAGAGCAAGGCUAGGUAAGCAAUCACGAAG
rnacentral:lncRNA from 1 species